rnacentral:tRNA from 1 species
GGGAAUUUGGCUCAGUGGUAGAGUGCUUGCCUAGGAAGCGCAAGGUCCUGGGUUCAAUCCCCAGCCCC